rnacentral:rRNA from 1 species
CUAAGAAUCUUCCGCAAUGGGCGAAAGCCUGACGGAGCGACGCCGCGUGGACGAUGAAGGCCGAAAGGUUGUAAAGUCCUUUUCUCUGUGAAGAAUAAGGGUGUGAGGAAAUGCGCACUUGAUGACGUUAGCAGAGGAAUAAGCCCCGGCUAAUUACGUGCCAGCAGCCGCGGUAAUACGUAAGGGGCGAGCGUUGUUCGGAAUUAUUGGGUGUAAAGGGUGCGUAGGCGGUUUGACAAGUCUGGUGUAUAAGGCAACGGCUUAACCGUUGUUUUGCGCUGGAAACUGUUGGACUUGAGUUUAGGAAGGGGAGCUGGAAUUCCAGGUGUAGGGGUGAAAUCUGUAGAUAUCUGGAAGAACACCGGUGGCGAAGGCGAGCUCCUGGCCAUAGACUGACGCUGAGGCACGAAAGCGUGGGGAGCGAACA